rnacentral:rRNA from 1 species
GACGAACGCUGGCGGCGUGCCUAACACAUGCAAGUCGAACGAAGUGGCGAACGGGUGAGUAACGCGGAAUCAACCUGCCCUUCUGAGGGGGACAACAGUUGGAAACGACUGCUAAUACCGCAUUCUGAAGGUGGGGAUUGCGUUGGAUUGGCUGGUUGGAGGGGUAACGGCCCACCAAGGCGAUGAUCAGUAGCCGGUCGGAGAGGAUGAACGGCCACACUGGGACUGAGACACGGCCCAGACUCCUACGGGAGGCAGCAGUGGGGAAUCUUCGGCAAUGGACGAAAGUCUGACCGAGCAACGCCGCGUGAGUGAAGAAGGUUUUCGGAUCGUAAAACUCUGUUGUUAGAGAAGCGGUAUCUAACCAGAAAGCCACGGCUAACUACGUGCCAGCAGCCGCGGUAAUUC